AGUACUGCGCACAGUGUGGAGAUAAAUGCUGGGAGCCACUACCUCCCCACCGGACCAGGAAGGAUGUGCAGAUGAUUAGGCUACAAUGCUUCAAAGCCAAAUCUUUGCACAGCCUGACCUGGUUCUCUGACCUGGUAUACAGGGUUCUCCCACGUCUCCCUGCUUUAUCCUCACAACAACCUUGGGUGAACUGGCCAAAUCAAUGGGUGGAAUCCAGAGGACAGCAUUCAAGACCACUAACCUGUGAAUCUAAAUGCUAAUUUUCAUUGAAUGCAUUGGUACUUGCUUCUGGUUAAAUAUGCACAGGAUUGGUCCACUGAAACAGAGAUUUGAAGAAAAAGAUCACCUUUCAGGACUUUCCAGUGCAUUUGAGCAGAUGCCAGCAGGACGUGGAAAAGUGAUGACAAGUCUGUGCCUUGAAUUGUUUUGCAUCGAGAAUGUUAUUUCCAGUCCCAGCCUGGAUCAUCUCAGGGAAACCAAGCACAAUGCCUCUUCCUUAGCUCAAUAGAUAUAUUCCGCCACAUUUGUCAGCAGUUAUAGCCUGUUCAGAAUCCUGACCUAGUUUUCUCCACAUUUCCUUACCAACAAUCCCACUAAGAAAUUUCAAAACCAUAAUGGCUAGCCCCUUCAUUGCUUGGGUUCCUCUGUGGCUCCAUUUAUUCAACAUUUACAUGUAACUAGGGCUAAAAUGUUUUAAUUUUAUUUAGAUAUCUGAUAUGCUGUCUUUCACUAAAUGAGUUUCCCAGAG